CCUACGGGAUGCAGCAGGCGCGAAAACUUUACAAUGCGGGCAACCGUGAUAAGGGAACCUCGAGUGCCUGUACAUGCAGGCUGUCUGGGUGUCUAAAACACACCCAAAGAAAGGGCCGGGCAAGACCGGUGCCAGCCGCCGCGGUAAUACCGGCGGCUCGAGUGGUGGCCACUUUUAUUGGGCUUAAAGCGUUCGUAGCUGGGUUGUUAAGUCUCUUGGGAAAUCCGGCGGCUUAACCGUCGGGCGUCUAAGAGAUACUGGCAAUCUUGGAACCGGGAGAGGUGAGGGGUACUUCGGGGGUAGGAGUGAAAUCCUGUAAUCCUCGAGGGACCACCUGUGGCGAAGGCGCCUCACCAGAACGGCUUCGACAGUGAGGGACGAAAGCUGGGGGAGCAAACCGGAUUAGAUACCCGCGUAGUCC
rnacentral:rRNA from 1 species